rnacentral:lncRNA from 10 species
AUGGUGGGGGCAGUGGCGUCAGCAACGCCCCCGCCCCUUCCGUUCACCGCCCUCCUCCAUCUCCGGGCCACCCCGGCGGGGGGAUGGGAAUGGACCCGAGCAAUCCACGUGACUGCCGACAACCGAGCGCGUGACGCAAAGCGGCGGGCCCAACGCUCGCCUUGUCUUUUGGGAAAGGUAGUUCCGGUGGCAGCCAAGUCGGCCAGGAGAGGCGGGCGUAGGACUACAUUUCCCAGGACGCAGCGGGUCUACGCCGUCGCCGUCGUCGGAGAGCGGAGACGCUGGGCGCGCUGUGGGGCGGGGGCGAGGUUCGGGCUGGUUGUGCCGUUGCGAGCUGCAGCUGCGAUCGCUGUGGUAGGCCCAGAUGACCCUGACUUUUUUCGUUUGUGGAAGUACUGAUGUAGUCUGUCCUGUUAUUCUAGACAGCCUGACGUGUGUAUUAGGAUUUAGAAGCUUGUUAAAUAGCCAAAACCAGUGGCUGCCAUGAACAACUUGUGGAGCAAAUCGGGCUCAGUUUGUUCUUUGCCGGGACAUGUAUUUUGUGAACUAGUGUUCAUACGUAAAUGAUAAGUUUUACUGCCACCAUUUGGGCUUAAUUGCAUUUUGUAAGAGAGUUGUAUUGAGGUUUCUUUAAUAAGUGAUUUGAUUAAAAAGCUCUAUAUCCAGUGUAAUUCCAUCUCUUUGUUUUUUAAACCUUUUAGCACCAGAGAAAGCUCUCCAGUUUUGGAGGUUGAUGUUUUUAGUCUUGUAGCCUAGGUACAGUUCAGUUUUAGCAGUGGUGGUGGUAGUAGUAGUACCACCUUAGUGUAUUUAUGUAAUACCAAGUAUGUAGGUACUUUUGAAUUUGGUUUAGCCUGUAAAAUAUGGAUUACAAAAAGUGUGAUCUGUUUUGUUCCAAGGAAUUGGAGGGAGGAAGCUUGGAAUAUUUCUGAGAUGAACACAGAGAUGGGGAAUGAUGAUUACUGGGAGGGCACACAGACCUACGAUUUGUUAUUAUUAUUAUUUUUUGAGACAAAGUCUCGCUCUGUCACCCAGCCUGGAGUGCAGUGGCACAAUCUCUGCUCACUGCAACCUCUGCCUCCUGGGUUCAAGCGAUUCUCCUGCUUCUGCCUCCUGAGUAGCUGGGAUUACCGGUGUGUGUCACCACGCCUGGCUCAUUUUUUUAUUUUUAGUAGAGAUGGGGUUUCACCAUGUUGACCAGGCUAGUCUUGAACUCCUGACCUCAGGGGAUCACCCACCUCGGCCUCCUUAAGUGUUGGGAUUACAGGCAUGAGCCACCGUGCCCGGCCACGAUUUAUUAUUUUUAGAAUGGAUAGUCCUAACCACUAAGCAUUUCAGGGCGCCACCCUGUUUCUGUAGGGCAUAGUGACAUCCUAAAUGGAAGGAAGUUUGGUUAAUGCUAUUCUCUCAAAUGCAGGGUUUUGGUGGAUUUUUUUCACACAUAUUCUAUGAACAUCUAAGAUCUGUUCACUAUUUGACUCUGAUUGGGUAAUUUAUUCAACAAAUAGUACUUGAGAGCCUAUCAUUUACCAGCUCCUGUUGUCGGCCUGUGAAUAUAUUGGGGUACAAUGACAGAUGAGGUCUUGUCUUUUGGAAACUUAACACAAUUGUUGGGGGCGGGGGACACAAAAGGUAAGCAAAUAAAUUACAAAUUGAGAAAAGUAACAGGUGUCCAGUUCAGGACUCAAGAUAGACACUGAAAAGGGGGAAUGAAUUUUUUUUUUUUUUUUUUUUUUUUUUUGAGACGGAGUCUCGCUCUGUCGUCCAGGCUGGAGUGCAGUGGCUGGAUCUCAGCUCACUACAAGCUCCGCCUCCCGGGUUCACACCAUUCUCCUGCCUCAGCCUCCUGAGUAGCUGGGACUAUAGGCACCUGCCACCUCGCCCGGGUAGUUUUUUGUAUUUCUUAGUAGAGACGGGGUUUCACCGUGUUAGCCAGGAUGGUCUCGAUCUCCUGACCUUGUGAUCCACCCGUCUCGGCCUCCCAAAGUGCUGGGAUUACAGGCUUGAGCCACUGCGCCCGGCCCCUGAAGUUCUUUUUGGGGAGAGUGAGGAACCAAUUUUGUAGAAUGUCAAGGAGAGGGUAUCCAGGUAGAGGAAACAGUAAGUGCCCAAACUGGAAGAUGGGAAGAAUUUAGUGUGGUUUCAGAACUGAAAGGAGGCCAAUUGUGUUUGACACUUUGGAGAGUGAUUACAGAUGAGUUGGAGAGGUAAGGUUGUUAGGGAAGCCAUUGAAGCCUUCUGAUGGUAGGAAGGAUUGCCAUCUCUUUCUUUCUUUUUUUUUUUUUUUUUUUUUUGAGACGGAGUCUCCCUCUGUCGCCCAGGCUGGAGUGCAGUGGCGCGAUCUCGGCUCACUGCAAGCUCCGCCUCCCGGGUUCACGCCAUUCUCCUGCCUCAGCCUCCCGAGUAGCUGGGACUACAGGCGCCCACAACCGCGCCCGGCUAAUUUUUUGUAUUUUUAGUAGAGACGGGGUUUCACCGUGGUCUCGAUCUCCUGACCUUGUGAUCCGCCCGCCUCGGCCUCCCAAAGUGCUGGGAAUACAGGCGUGAGCCACCGCGCCC